UACGUAGGGUGCAGGCGUUAAUCGGAAUUACUGGGCGUAAAGCGUGCGCAGGCGGUUUGCUAAGAGAGAUGUGAAAUCCCCGGGCUCAACCUGGGAAUUGCGAUGGAGACUGCAAGGCUAGAAUCUGGCAGAGGGGGGUAGAAUUCCACGUGUAGCAGUGAAAUGCGUAGAGAUGUGGAGGAACACCGAUUGCGAAGGCAGCUCGCUGGAACGUAACUGACGCUGAGACGCGAAAGCGUGGGGAGCAAACAGG
rnacentral:rRNA from 1 species